rnacentral:rRNA from 1 species
GGCGGUGUGUGCUAGCCGCCGCGGUAAUACAUAGGGGGCAAGCGUUAUCCGGAAUUAUUGGGCGUAAAGGGUGCGUAGGUGGCCAUUUAAGUCUUUGGUGUAAGUGCAGUGCUCAACGCUGUGAUGCUAAAGAGUCUGGGUGGCUUGAGUGUGGUAGAGGCAAGUGGAAUUCCAUGUGUAGCGGUAAAAUGCGUAAAUAUAUGGAGGAACACCAGUGGCGAAGGCGGCUUGCUGGGCCAUAACUGACACUGAGGCACGAAAGCGUGGGGAGCAAACAGGAUUAGAUACCCUGGUAGUCCACGCCGUAAACGAUGAGUACUAAGUGUUGGAGAAAUUCAGUGCUGUAGUUAACGCAAUAAGUACUCCGCCUGAGUAGUACGUACGCAAGUAUGAAACUCAAAGGAAUUGACGGGACCCCGCACAAGCGGUGGAUCAUGUUGUUUAAUUCGAUGAUACGCGAAGAACCUUACCAGGUCUUGACAUCCCUUGCAAAGCUCUAGAGAUAGAGUGGAGGUUAUCAAGGAGACAGGUGGUGCAUGGUUGUCGUCAGCUCGUGUCGUGAGAUG